ACAACGACAUCAUUGUGAAUCCCAGCAAUUGAGCACUCGACACAGUAAAGUUUAGUUUACUCUCACUGUCCUUUCUCCAAUAAUGCAUUGUACGCUGGCCAAUUUAAAAUGCCACCUUGCAGAUUCUUGGUCCUUGCACUAUGAUUUACCUGGCAAAGCACCUGCAGACAUCAGCAUCCUCACGAGCAUAUAAGGCAACCCUUCCCUCUUCUCUUGUCCACAGCCCCUACCGACUAUGGAAGGCGCAUGGCUCGAGCAUCUACAUGGCUCUUGAGAGCGGAAGCAGGGUCGGGAUGAACCGCAGAGCUGAGCCCUCCUGCGCAGGAAGCGCUCCAGCUUUGCGGUGCCUCUCCUGACCUCCCAGGUGGUCGCCUGAGGUACGCAAGAAUCGGCAAGUCACAAAACGGCAAUGGUGAACUCCGGCAGGAGUCCACCCCCCUUUUAUCCUUUUCUCUCCAUUCAGUUGUAUCAGGUGGAACUCGAAUAAUCGGAAGUCUCCGUGUGUGAUGAAUCAAUGGAUGCUUCAAGUCCAUGUCUUUUUUUCUCUUUAUUAUGUGUACUCUGGAAACACUACUAUAAAUGGCUCAUGUUCAUCUAGCAAAACCACUUUAUGCUGUCUUGUUUGAUUCGCUUGUGUGCCGUCUUUACCGGUUAGCAGCUUGUUAUAUAUGCUGCUUCGAAACAGAUUGGUGUAUGCUGG
rnacentral:rRNA from 1 species